AUGACUGAAGCUGUAGGAAUCACAGUUGUUCUGGUUGUCAUAAUCUGUCUCAUUGGCUUCUUGUGGUUCAGGAGAGCCACAGGAGGAAGUGAUGACACAGCGGUCACACAGAGUGUGCAUCCUGACCAUAACAUUGACACAUACACAGGUCUGAACAUAAAGACCAUGUCCCCUGACUACGACACUCUGGCAAGUGUCCAUCCUGAUCCUAACAGUGAGACGUACACACCUCUGAACAUGAAGACCAGGUCACCAGAGUAUGACACCCUGGCAGUGAGUUUGUGUGUGUAUUUGUGUGUGGCAGGGUGUCCAUAAAAAUUAUGCAAAGUGCUCAUUCAGUGUGUCUUCUUUCAGAAUGGGAGGGGCUCCCCCAGUGACACAGCCCCUCAGAUUGGGCUCCCGAGUGGCGCAGCAGUCUAAGGCACUGCAUCUCUUAGUCACAACCGGCAGUGAUUGGGAGUUCCAUAGGGCGGUGCACAAUUGGCCGAGCAUCGUUCGAGUUUGGCCGGUGUAGGCCGUCAUUGUAAAUAAGAGUUUGACUUGCCUAGUUAAAAAAAUAAAUAAACAGAAUUAUAGAUGCUGAGCCCUCUGAUUAUGAGAACUGAAAAGAACCACCAUGGAAUCUGGACUGCAGAGAACCACCACGGAAUCUGGACUGCAGAGAACCACCACGGAAUCUGGACUGCAGAGAACCACCACGGAAUCUGGACUGCAGAGAACCACCACUGAACAUGGACUACAGAAAACCACCAAGGAAAAUGUCCUGAAGAGAACCACCACAGAACAUGGACUGAAGAGAUCCACCAAAGAACAUGGACUGUAGAUCUUCUGCACCAAACCAAAGCUAGGCCUUACACCUCUAUUCUCCUGCUGUCAUAUUGCUAUCAUAUCUAGAAGGUUUUCCAGAGCAUUAGUAAUUAAGUAAAUGCUGGAGAUGAAUUCUCAUUCCUUGAAAAUAUUAUUAUGUAGAUUGCUAAAUUUUUUUAUAGAUUAUGAUUCUGCUCUUUUAUAUGGGAUUUUGCCAUUUCCAGAUUUUUUGAUUAGCUAAUGUACUUCUCUUAGUGACUAAUAUGGAUAAUCUUGAUAACAGCUUUUUAAUGUGUAUUGCUCUUGGACCAAUGUGCUCUUGAUAUGUACAAAUGAUCUACUUUGUAUUGCUGUUAGACAUUAUUGCGCAAAGACAUUCAUGAAAAGGAAUGCUAAUACCAUAAUCAAGCUUGUUUUAUUGUCAAAUUAUUCAUUAUCUAUAUUAUAUUGAGUGUGAUUCAGUGUCAUUCAUGCAUCAUGUUGUAAAUAAUCUCACAGUUUAUGACAAUAAAUACAAAUAUUUUGGGCGUGGAAAUAUUACAGUUUAGCCUGUCAUUCUUAAUUAUCUGUUAUCUUGAAAAUCUUAAAGAUGAAUUCAUACAGGUAUUCCUCAGUACAGUAGACAGUUAUUUUAAUAAUGAAUGUAAACAUUGGUUGUCAAGCAUAUACAUUUAGGCGUGUUAGGCAUUGCAGCAAACUUUAAAGGCGAGUCGAGAAAGGAAGCAUCUCUCCAUCAGCUUCUUGGUCUCUGACAUAGAGUUGAAUUGAGUUUAAUGACAGUCUGUAAAACUGAAAGGGUGCAUAUUAUCGCU
rnacentral:lncRNA from 8 species